UGUUUUCCAAUUUUCUAGCCCACCCAAACUUUACAAAAUGCUAGAUAGCAUAUUAGUCACAAUCAUAUUCACAUCACUAACUAUAUCCGAAAAUGAAUGACCCUGGGAAAAAUUACAAAUAUUACAUGGAUUUCAUUCAAUCAAUGUUGAUGCAGAAGCAUCCUUGCCCUCUGUUGAAGUUGAGUCAAUGACCUAAUACAAGUGCCCUCUUCCCAUGUCUUUAAGCGUGUAAGGCUGAUUAGUUCCCGAAUAAAAACUACCAUUUCGUCAAGACUACUUUGCAUUGGCAACUUGUCUUCAGAUCCCUUGCUUCGGUGUUUCCCAUAUACAGCCUCAAAUUCUCUAGACUUACUGGCAGCUGUUCGUAGUACUGAGUCAGGG
rnacentral:lncRNA from 1 species